GACGAACGCUGGCGGCGUGCUUAACACAUGCAAGUCGAACGGAAAGGCCCUGCUGUUGUGGUGUGCUCGAGUGGCGAACGGGUGAGUAACACGUGAGUAACCUGCCCUUGACUUUGGGAUAACUUCAGGUAACUGGGGCUAAUACCGGAUAGGAGCUCCUGCUGCAUGGUGGGGGUUGGAAAGUUUCGGCGGUUGGGGAUGGACUCGCGGCUUAUCAGCUUGUUGGUGGGGUAGUGGCUUACCAAGGCUUUGACGGGUAGCCGGCCUGGGAGGGUGACCGGCGACAUGGGGACUGAGAGACGGCCCAGACUGCUACGGGAGGCAGCAGUGGGGAAUAUUGCACAAUGGGCGGGAGCGUGAUGCAGAAACGCCGCGGGCGGGAUGACGGCCUUCGGGGUGUAAACCGCUUUCGCCUGUGACGAAGCGUGAGUGACGGUAAUGGGUAAAGAAGCACCGGCUAACUACGUG
rnacentral:rRNA from 1 species